rnacentral:tRNA from 1 species
GGGAGGUUAGCUCAGGGGUAGAGCAUUGCAUUCACACUGCAAGGGUCGGCAGUUCGAAACUGCCACUUCCCACCA